rnacentral:rRNA from 1 species
UACGUAGGGUGCGAGCGUUGUCCGGAAUUAUUGGGCGUAAAGGGCUCGUAGGCGGUUUGUCGCGUCGGGAGUGAAAACACUGGGCUUAACUCAGUGCUUGCUUCCGAUACGGGCAGACUAGAGGUAUGCAGGGGAGAACGGAAUUCCUGGUGUAGCGGUGAAAUGCGCAGAUAUCAGGAGGAACACCCGUAGCGAAGGCGGUUCUCUGGGCCGGUACUGACGCUGAGGAGCGAAAGCGUGGGGAGCAAACAGG